rnacentral:rRNA from 1 species
AUGGCCAUCCCGCUCCAGGCGAAGAAGCAGCAGGAGAACGGAAGCAAGGGCGGCCAAGGCAGCGACGUGGACGGCGGCGACGACAACCCUUCGGCGGCGGAGGAGCUGCGGGAGCUGUGGCGCAUGGCGGCGCCGAUCACGGCGCUCAACUGCGUGGUGUACCUGCGCGCCAUGGUGUCCGUGCUCUGCCUGGGUCGGCUCGGCCCGCUCGACCUCGCCGGCGGCGCGCUCGCGAUCGGGCUCACUAACAUCACGGGCCACAGCGUGCUCUUCGGCCUCGCGUCCGGGUUGGAGCCGCUUUGUGCCCAGGCCUACGGCUCCCGCAACUACGACCUGCUCACGCUCUCCCUCCACCGCGCCGCAUACGCCGCGUGGGCGCUCCCGGACCUCGCCGCGCUGGCCGUGCUCCAGCCGCUUCGCGUCUACCUUAGGUCCCAGGGCAUCACCAAGCCCAUGGCCGCCUGCUCCGCGGCCGCCGUCGCGCUGCACAUCCCGCUCAACUUCCUCCUCGUCUUCCGCAUGGGCUUCGGCGUGCGCGGCGUCGCGGCCGCGCAGGCGCUCACCAACACCAACAUGGUGCUCUUCCUGCUCGCCUACGUGCGGUGGGCGGCCGCGUGCGAUGACACGUGGAGGGGCUUCGCGCGGCCCGCCGCCGUAGCCAGCGGGCUCGGCGGCCUCGUCCGCCUCGCCGUGCCCAGCUGCAUCGGCGUCUGCCUCGAGUGGUGGUGGUACGAGGUCGUCACCGUGCUCGCCGGCUACCUCCAGAACCCCACCGCCGCCUGA